ACCGUGUACGUACAAGCAGUGGGAGCAUGAGUUUACUCAUGUGACUGCGUACCUUUUGUAUAAUGGGUCAGCGACUUAUAUUCUGUAGCAAGGUUAACCGCAUAGGGGAGCCGAAGGGAAACCGAGUCUUAAUUGGGCGUUAAGUUGCAGGGUAUAGACCCGAAACCCGGUGAUCUAGCCAUGGGCAGGUUGAAGGUUGGGUAACACUAACUGGAGGACCGAACCGACUAAUGUUGAAAAAUUAGCGGAUGACCUGUGGCUGGGGGUGAAAGGCCAAUCAAACCGGGAGAUAGCUGGUUCUCCCCGAAAGCUAUUUAGGUAGCGCCUCGUGAAUUCAUCUCCGGGGGUAGAGCACUGUUUCGGCUAGGGGGCCAUCCCGGCUUACCAACCCGAUGCAAACUGCGAAUACCGGAGAAUGUUAUCACGGGAGACACACGGCGGGUGCUAACGUCCGUCGUGAAGAGGGAAACAACCCAGACCGCCAGCUAAGGUCCCAAAGUCAUGGUUAAGUGGGAAACGAUGUGGGAAGGCCCAGACAGCCAGGAUGUUGGCUUAGAAGCAGCCAUCAUUUAAAGAAAGCGUAAUAGCUCACUGGUCGAGUCGGCCUGCGCGGAAGAUGUAACGGGGCUAAACCAU
rnacentral:rRNA from 1 species